UGCCAUUGAUACUGCUAGUCUUGAGUAAGGUUGAAGUGGCUGGAAUAAGUAGUGUAGCGGUGAAAUGCAUAGAUAUUACUUAGAACACCAAUUGCGAAGGCAGGUCACUAAGUCUUAACUGACGCUGAUGGACGAAAGCGUGGGGAGCGAACAGGAUUAGAUACCCUGGUAGUCCACGCCGUAAACGAUGAUUACUCGUUUUUGGGUUUUAUGAUUCAGAGACUAAGCGAAAGUGAUAAGUAAUCCACCUGGGGAGUACGUUCGCAAGAAUGAAACUCAAAGGAAUUGACGGGGGCCCGCACAAGCGGUGGAGCAUGUGGUUUAAUUCGAUGAUACGCGAGGAACCUUACCAAGACUUAAAUGGGAAAUGACAGAUUUAGAAAUAGAUCCUUCUUCGGACAUUUUUCAAGGUGCUGCAUGGUUGUCGUCAGCUCGUGCCGUGAGGUGUUAGGUUAAGUCCUGCAACGAGCGCAACCCCUGUCACUAGUUGCUAACAUUAAGUUGAGGACUCUAGUGAGACUGCCUACGCAAGUAGAGAGGAAGGUGGGGAUGACGUCAAAUCAUCACGGCCCUUACGUCUUGGGCCACACACGUGCUACAAUGGCCGGUACAGAGGGCAGCUACCUAGCGAUAGGAUGCAAAUCUCGAAAGCCGGUCUCAGUUCGGAUUGGAGUCUGCAACUCGACUCUAUGAAGCUGGAAUCGCUAGUAAUCGCGCAUCAGCCAUGGCGCGGUGAAUACGUUCCCGGGCCUUGUACACACCGCCC
rnacentral:rRNA from 1 species